rnacentral:rRNA from 1 species
UACGAAGGGGGCUAGCGUUGCUCGGAAUCACUGGGCGUAAAGCGCACGUAGGCGGAUCUUUAAGUCAGGGGUGAAAUCCUGGAGCUCAACUCCAGAACUGCCUUUGAUACUGGGGAUCUCGAGCCCGGAAGAGGUGAGUGGAACUCCGAGUGUAGAGGUGAAAUUCGUAGAUAUUCGGAAGAACACCAGUGGCGAAGGCGACUUACUGGACACAUAUUGACGCUGAGGUGCGAAAGCGUGGGGAGCAAACAGG